rnacentral:lncRNA from 1 species
CCCCUCUUACUCCCAGAGGCCCAGCCCAGGGACCUUCAAAGGGAAGCAUGCCAGAGGGAGGGGCCAGCAGCCUGGGCAGGGCUGGGCAGGGCUUGCAUAGUUUGGCUCUUCCCAAAAGGGCUCAGCACUUCACUUGAGUCAGGACCCUCUGCAGAAGCAGGGAGCUCUGAGUCUGCACCUGGCAGGGAACUCUCAGCUGUGGCAUCUGUGAGGAAGGAAGGAGGGAGCUCUCUGUCCCGGGGACAAUGGCCAGAUUCUGCUUCCUGCUGUUCGUCUCUGUGGCCACCAGAGGGUGGAGUGCAGCAGUGGUCCAGGCUCCUGAGAUGUUCCAGGUGGGCAAAACCUGUGCCUCCUCCCUUUCUUUCCUGCCUAGAAGCUGCAAGGAACUCAAAGAAAGUUGCAAUAGAGCAGGUGGACUCACUGAGAAAAUAUACCAAAAUGCACACCUUUGUGGAAGUGUCGUUCAACUUAGCUACCUAGACUUGGCCAACAUUUCUUCUCGUGACAGGCCCAGGGAAUUCCAAUCACAGCCAACGGGGAGGCCUGUGAAUUUUGAAACUGCAGAAUUUGUUCCAAAUUGGAAAGAGAAAACCAGAGAGGCAGCAGAUAUCCACAGGGGUGUCCUUGCAUCUCUGCAGUAAGGGAUACCAUACAACUGAGGAGAAGAAAAGCAGGAACAAUAGCCAACAAUGGUGCAAAUUAAACUGGCAAUAGAACAGGAAGAAAAGACAGCCUUCAGAGUGGCUUGGACCGCAGAGUGAAUUUUCAGCUGGAAAGUUAAAGAGAUCUCCUGUGGAAUACUUCCCACCCCAGCUACGGAAAGCCAGGGAGACUCCACAGUGGCAGCAGAGCCUAGUGGAAAUUAAGAACAGGUUGUUUAAUAUAUAUAUAUAUAUAUACACAUACAUAUAUAUGUGUGUGUAUACACACACACACACACAUAUGUAUGUAAACCCCAGCACACCCAGACUGAAAGUGAAAAAGAAACAGUGUUCUAUAAAGAGUGUUCCUUACCCACUCUGGGCCCAAAUCAUGACUGUGGUCAUCAUUGGGCACCAUUGGCCCAGAUAUUUGACUGUAACAAUGACGCAUGAGUUCUUUUUGAAGACAAUAGAGGAGUUAGCUGUGAAUCAUGGAGUGCUCAUUUUGGAAUAAGAACUAGUAGAUGAUUUAUUGUACAGUUAAAUCAGUCAUGAAUGCCAUAUUUUUCGGGUCCUCUGUAAUACAGAAUUAAUUUAAAGAGAGGACUUUUUGAUAAACGUGCAGGACUCUCUAACAUAGGCCACACGGGCCUCAAGAAGGAUUAGCUCCAGAAACUGGAAACCUGCUAAAAACCCAUACAGGACCCUCUCCCUCCCAGGUCUCUGCUCUGACAGCUGCCUCCUUCCCCCUUCUCUCCAUGGAGCAGCCUCCUCUGCUCCCAGCCUGCAAGGUGGAAUAUGACUGCCCAUUGCUUCCCAGCUUAACAGGUCCAGCAACAUGAGGGGAAUAAGUGUCUCUCAAUUCCUGCUCUAAAUCUCCAGAGAAUGGACUACCUCAACUUGGGUCAAAUUCUCAUCCCUAAAUGAAGUAACUAUGGCUUCAUGGAAAGCGUAGAGUUAUUUUUUACUUGCAUGGCUGCUGGGAGCCCACCUCAUGAAUCGAUAGGGGGCAGCUAAGAAAGUCACUGAAAGCUGGACCGAUCUCUCCAAAUGUUCACAGUAAAUAAUACUCGGAGGUUCUGAUUUGUAUCCAGUACGCGGAGACAAAAAUGAAGAUUUGUCUUUGGAAAAUCUUGGAAACACUACUUCCUUAUAAGAGGAUUGCAAUAAAUUCUUAGUCUAUUUUCA